AUGGGUAGGCUUCGGCCAUAAACCCCCACCAUUGUGAACGAAGCUUUAGUAGCAGUUGCUUCGGCGGGUGGUAAUACCAUGUCCCUUACGGGGUACCCGCCGGAGGCAAGCGAACUCUUGUUAUUUAUUGUUAUCUCUGAGUAAACUUUUAAUAAGUCA
rnacentral:misc_RNA from 1 species